rnacentral:rRNA from 1 species
UACGAAGGGGGCGAGCGUUGUUCGGAUUUACUGGGCGUAAAGGGCGCGUAGGCGGCAUGACAAGUCACUUGUGAAAUCUCCGGGCUUAACUCGGAACGGUCAAGUGAUACUGUCGCGCUAGAGUGCGGAAGGGGCAAUCAGAAUUCUUGGUGUAGCGGUGAAAUGCGCAGAGAUCGGGAGGAACACCAAUGGCGAAAGCAGGUAACUGGACCAUUACUGACACUCAGCUGCGAAAGCUAGGGGAGCAAACAGG